UUGAAAAGUGUUUAUAAACAUGUUCGCCUUUGCAAAUUAUUUCACAGUACCAAAAAUGCGGAUUUUUUGUGUUUAAUAGAUUAAAUGUGGCCAAAAAGAGGUCUCAUUAGGUAACGGAAAUUAUGGACGAAAAACGGCAUCUCAUUGACUGAUUACUACAAAAAAAUUAAUGUACAGGGGAACUCUUACUACUACAAUUUUGUAAAAAAAAAAAAUCAAAAAUUAUUUAAAAAUAUACUUCCGCACGGCACUGGAAACUGAUCCACUGUAAAGUUUGACCUUAUGCAAGACAAAAGCAUGCAGUUGGCGACCGGCACGGCGGCAAAGUUAAAAA